rnacentral:rRNA from 1 species
UAUGCAGUCGAGCGAAUGACAGAGAAGCUUGCUUCUCUUGAUUUAGCGGCGGACGGGUGAGUAACACGUGGGCAACCUACCUUAUAGAUGGGGAUAACUCCGGGAAACCGGGGCUAAUACCGAAUAAUUCCAAGCACCUCCUGGUGCUUGGCUGAAAGACGGUUUCGGCUGUCACUAUAAGAUGGGCCCGCGGCGCAUUAGCUAGUUGGUAAGGUAACGGCUUACCAAGGCAACGAUGCGUAGCCGACCUGAGAGGGUGAUCGGCCACACUGGGACUGAGACACGGCCCAGACGUCCAUAAGGUUGCACGACUGUCAGACAUGUAUGGGAAUCCUUCCACAAUUAGUUGACGAAAGUCUAGGAAUGGACGCAACGCUCGCGUGGACGUGAAGAUAGUGUCUCUACGGAUCCUAAAACUCCAGUGGGAAGGGCAAGACAUAAGUACCGCUAGUAAGCUGGCCGUACCUGGACGGUUACAUAAUAAGAACAGCCACAGUCUAACUACGUGUCCAGCAGCCGCGGUAAGUACGUAGCUGGCAAGUCGCUAGUCAAGAAUUAGUUGGGACAGUAAGAGCUGCGCGGCAGGUCCGUCCUUAUUAACGUAUGAUGAUGAAACGCCCCACUGGCUCCAAUCCGUCGAAACGUUCGAUAGGCAAACUGGGCGGACUUUGACUGCAGAAAGAGGUGUUAGGAGGAAAUCCCAAGUGUAGCCGAUGAAAUGCGUAGAGAUGUUGGGAGCAACACCAGUGGCGAAAGCGACUAAGCUGCUCUGUAACUGACGCUGAGGCGCGAAAGCGUGAGGAGCAAACACGAUUAGAUACCCGUGGUAGUCCACGCCGUAAACGAUGAGUGCUAAGUGUUAUGGGGAUUUCCCGCCCUUUAGUGCCGCAGUAAACGCAUUAAGCACUUCAGCCUGGGGAGGUACGGCCGGCAAGGUUGAAACUCAAAGGAAUUGACAGGGGCCCGCAGCAAGCGGUGGAGCAUGUGAGUUUAAUUCCGAAGCCAACGCGAAGAACAUUACCAGGUCGUGACGAUCCCGUUGACUACUGUAGAGAGUAUAGUUUUCCCUUCGGCGACAACGGUGACAGAUGGUGCAUGCAUUGUCUGCCAGCUCCGUGUCAUGAGAUGUUAGGUUAAGUCACGCAUACGAACGCAACCCGUAUGCUUAGUUGCCAUCGCAUAUAGUUGGGCACUCUAAGCAGACUGCCGACUGACAGACACCGGAGGAAGGUGGGGAUGACGUCAAAUCAUCAUGCCCCUUAUGACCUGGGCUACACACGUGCUACAAUGGACGAUACAAACGGUUGCCAACCCGCGAGGGGGAGCUAAUCCGAUAAAAUCGUUCUCAGUUCGGAUUGUAGGCUGCAACUCGCCUACAUGAAGCCGGAAUCGCUAGUAAUCGUGGAUCAGCAUGCCACGGUGAAUACGUUCCCGGGCCUUGUACACACCGCCCGUCACACCACGAGAGUUUGUAACACCCUAAGUCGGUGAGGUAACCUUCGGGAGCCAGCCGCUAAGU